UGCACUUUUUGGUAAGAAGAUGUUAACAAAAGUUGUUCGUCAUGAUGAGGGCUACAACUUUGCUUAAUAUCCUUUUAACAAAUUAUGCGUAUUUAAGGAGAUAGGGCUGCGCAUGCGCAGAACGUAUCUCCUUACCUUUGCACUUUUUGGUAAGAAGAUGUUAAUGAAAGUUGUUCGUGUUGAUGAGGGCUACAACUUUGCUUAAUAUCCUUUUAACAAAUUAUGCG
rnacentral:miRNA from 1 species